CUCAGCACAAAGGAUCUUUGCGGUGCACAGGGAAGGAUGCCUAUGGAGGUGGUGGUGGAGCUCCAAAUCCGGGCGGUAAGACACCUGCGAGCCUACCUACCGCGUCACCCCAAGUUCUCCUUUGCUUACUGCACACACAUUGUUUGGGGGGGCAGAUCUGUGCUUCUGUCCCUAAGAUACCACAUAUUUAUCUCCCUUGUAUCUCUUAGCCUUUAAACUCAGUUCAAUCUGUUCCGCCUUUCAUUUUUCUUUCCCAAACCGACAUGUUCCUUGGCUUCUUUAAAACAAUCCUGACUUAGGUUAAAGCAGGAUUUUCAUUUGUGAAAGAAUUUAUUUUUUUAAAGUAACCAAGGAAUAUAACAUUUUUAAAGCUCCACGUUUGAUAUUGUCCCCUCACGUCUAGGGAUCGCUUUGGAUUGCUCAUUUCAACAGGGUAAUCAAUCUAACAAUAAACACUUUGUGAUAACCCACCAACUCCUCCUUAAAUGAGGGGCAGGGGCACGUGACCAUGACCUUGCUGUUCCCAUUUAGGAGUCAGCCAUUCCUCUGGUUUUGCUCUCCUGUCCUCCAAGGCUGGCAUGGAGUGUGGCCUCACAGUUAAACGGGGGCUUAGGCCAUAGUUAGAAGUGGAUGCUAAGAGGAUACAGCAUGGAGAUCCAGUGAGAUGCUGUGUAAUCAGUAAACUCUAUGGUUUCACUGAGCGCGUAGAAAUGAAAGGAAAAACGAGAGGGUCCUGGUUUUGGUUCCAUCUUGCUGACAGUUCUCAGUUGGGCUGUAUCAAUUUCAAGUGUUCAGGAUGAGGAAGGAGCCCCCAAGAAGCCAAGUGAUCUCUCUUACAUCAAAGCAGAAAUUAAAGAUUUCACCUCAUAUCAUUCAACAUUACCAGUUUAAUUUAUUUUGAUUUUUUUUUAAAGGCAUCCUUCAUCGUACAAGUAAUUAACAAAGAAAUCAGUUUUUUAUUCCAGAGAAUUUAGGAUUAUUCAUGAAGUCGGGUAAAUUGAUCUGAUCUAUAUUUUAAAAGCCAGCAAACUCAGGCCCCAGCAAACAAAAUAUGGAAUUUCAGAAGUGCGACUAGAAAGUAGAAGUGGGCCCUUAAUUAGCAGACUUGGGGACACUAUAAGAACAAACAGUCACUUUCAAGUGUCUGGCCUGAAUGUUAUAAUGAAAAAUGAUCUUCAGAAAUUUAAACACACCUAGACCUCUUAGAACCUCACAGCUUAGCUGAUCUGAUGAGGGGAGAGGUAGUCUGUGUUUAGGUUGUUGUGGGAAUGUGAUAACUGUUUUAUUUAUCGAAGGACUUGUUCCAAUGGGUGUACCAGACUCCCACUCUCGAAGGUCCUACUUCCUCCUACUGAGAACUGGUUUAUCAUGUCCAUCUUCCACAGUCCUGUCCACCCAUAUCUUUGAACAUUAGACCAUAGCCCACAGCUCACAGUCCUUUCUAUUUAUAAAUGCCAGAACAAGUGGCCAUUGAGAUUAUCUGAUGAUGCCACUUUCACCAGUGAUUUAAAGACUUUCUUUCCAGACACAGCAGCAUUUACAGAUGUCAUGAGCAUACCCCUCUUUGGUCUUUCUAGGUCAGACUGUAAUCAGAGUCUACCAUAUUAUUUGGUCAUCUUUGGUCUUAUGAUUGGGGGGGGGGGGGCGCCAUGAAUGAACAGCUUUCAAUGUAAACAGAAAUUUAAGAGUUUUACCUAAUGCUCACGUAGGGCAAUAGGCUCUCCUGAAAAGUUUCAAGUUGUGUCCUGUUACCUAAAAUGUGCUGAACACAGCACAGUGGGACCGAUAGGGAAAGGAUAGCAUACAGUUAUCCUUGGGGUACACACAGGAACGCUAUGCAGGCACACUGAAAAGAACCACAUUGCUCUUCUACUUUUUACUUAAUAGAGGACCAUUUGCUUGAUUUAGUAGAGGUGACCGACAGCAGGGCUUCAUUUCCUGCCCCUGGCCAUGGCCUACUUCCCGGUCUGCCUCCUUCUAAGCUCUUAGUUCCCCUGACUCUCCCCAGCAGCUCAGCUUCUUGCCCCCUGGUAUGCUACUUGUCCAUGGGACUAGGAAACAAAACAGUAGGCUCAUACUUACAUUUCUGUGGGAACCUUAGACAAGCCCACCUUUUGAAUAUGUCUUCUUCCAUAUCUUGGUUUGUUCUAUGAGUGCUAAAAGAUAACGUUAAAUAGUAGUAGAAGUUAACUAUCUAAAGAUCGUUUGAGAGGUACUGGGAGCAGAAAGGAAAAUACUCUGUGGAACCUCUUAACUACCAAGUCCACAAGGGUGGGAGAGCUUAAAGGAAUCAGAAGAAGGAAAAAGCUCCAAUUAUGGCAACAUAUUCAGAGAGUUAAAUUGGAGAAAAAAAAUCUGUUUUGAACUUUAAAAUUAUUGUUUAAAAUUUACUGCAGGUAAAGGGUGGGAAUAGCACAUGGUUUAUCUAGCUAAUGGCUCUUAAAUUUUAAUUUACAAGUAAUAACAUUGUUUUUUUGGGGGGUGAGGGGAAUUACUCAUUAACGUUGUCAACUUUAAGUAAAUAGCAAUCAUACAGUCAGCCAGCUUGAUUUCUUUACAGUUGUCUUGGUGAUAAAUAGCUGUCAAAUACACAGUAGACUUUGUUUCUCAAGUAUGGCCGUGUUCAGUAAUAGCCAGCAUGCGCUCCGGUCUAGGAACCUGUCAAGACAGUGGGAUCCCAGAAUUCCCAAAGUUGCCCAGAGGGGCAACUAGAUGGCUCUGGCUUAGGUCAGCAUCCUCGAGUGUGGAAUCCUUCAGACCUCAAGGUGUCAAUAAUCAAUGAGAUGGUGUCACUGUUGAUUCCACAGUACAAAAAGAACUGGAACAUUGUGGGGUGACAGCCAGCAAUAAUCCACAAUGCUGUACUGCAUGUAGCCCAGAAAAAAGCCAAAAGCCACAUCAGUGACGUUGUGCCGCCCGAGCAUGACCCUAGAGAGACCCAAGACGAAGGCCCACAGGACCACCAGCACCCUCAGUGGAAUGGCCAGUACCAGGUGGUUUAGGAUAAACCGCGACACCAGGGCGGCCCUCGUGGCGUGGCCCGAGGGAAAGGAGUACCUGUCCACCGAGAGGGUGAAAAACAUGUCCUUUUGAUUGUGCGCGGGUCGGCGCCUGCGGACCAGCCCUUUAAUCACAGCUACCAGCAGCAGGUCCAACAGCAGGGCGAAGAGCAGGUUCAUCAGCACUUCGCGCCCGGCCCAGCUGUCGCUCCUAAGCAGGCAGUAGAGGGUGCCCAGCAGCCAGGGGAUGCCAUGCCCUGAGAUCUCCAGCAGCUUCAUCAGGGGCCGCACGCUGCCCCAGGCCGAGCUCUCCCCAGCACACACCCCCAGCUUCUUGGACAGCCACAGGUCGAUGGCCAGCAGGGAGCGCAGGGCGAUGCCCAGGAAGGACGGGUUCAAGUUCAUGCGGGCGUCCUCCGGCGGCGGGGCCGGGGCUGCUUGUGCGGGGCCCGAGGCGGCCAGCGGGAAGGAGCCGCGCCGGUGCACCGGGCUGUCGGACGCGCGCAGCCGAGCGCAGGCGGGGUCCGCGCCCGCGCGGCAGUUCAGCAGCGAUUGGAACUCGAACCUGCCGCCGCCGCUGCCACCGCCGUGGGCCGGGCUGCCCGGGACGCUGCUUCCGCCCGAGGAGCCCAGCGGCCGUCCCUCGAUGGUCCUCCGGGGGCUCGGCAUCGCGGAGGGAGGCCGGUCCCGGGGACCCGGGCAGACCGGAGACAGGCUUCCCAGCCCGUCAGCCUCUUCCGCUUCCGCACUGCCAUCCCGGAGGGCGGGCCGAGGAGCCGAGCCGCAGAGCACGAUUGUGACACCUGGCGGAGACGUGGGAGGGAACCGGGAGUACCAGCUUGAGGAGAGGUGGGAAGUGCAGAUUUCUUGCCCCGGAGUGUUCCUGCCGGACAAGGAAGCUGUGUACCUUGGAGUCUACCUUCUGAAUCAGUACCUGGAGACAGACUGCUUUCCCCCUGUGUUCCCUGUUGUGAUUCAACAGAGCAUGAGAUUUGUAAAGGUAUUUGAAGAGGCAAUAGAUCCUGGAGCUGUCGCAGAACUUUUAGAAAGCUUCCUAACCAGGUUUGAAUUAGUACAGCUAGUGUCUCCAGCAUGGGAAGAGUUGGCCUACUAUGAAAAAAACACCCGAGAUUUCCUGUUCCCUGAGCCCAGGCUGGCGUCCUCACACCUUGGCAUGCAGAGGGAGGUGCUCAUGAAGACAGCUAUUUGGUUUCCAGGCAUUGCUCCCAAAAUAGAGUUUUCUACAAGGACAGCCAUCCUAGAAUGUGUGUUCCCGUGUAAAAACAGAUUCAUUUGUGAAGAAAGGUGUAGAUUGGAAAGAUCUGUCUCAAAAUCUCACGGACAGAGAGUCCAGGCAACUAACAGGAAAAAGAAGCCAAAGGAAAAAGAUUCUGACCAACUCCCCAAAGGGACACAGUCCCGGUUACCCUCCCCUCAACGUCUUCAUCUCCAUCGGCCGACUCAACGCAACCAUGGGAAAAGCUUCAAGUUCCCGGGAGAAAGGAAACCUCCAUUUGUGGUUAGACAUGUGGACAGUGGGAACCCAUUUGGUGAAAAUAAUUUGGAGCACUGUUCGAAGAAGUCCAGAAGAAAACCUAAGUUAAUAAACUUUGAUCUUUCGAAGAAAAGAGCAUCUUCUCUUGACAGCCUGGAGGCGAACAUAAAGGUUAUCCGAGAGCCAGAUGAGCGGAUUGUCUUAAAGAGCCAGCCACCACCACCUGUAGAUUCAAGUGAGUCCAGAAAGCCCUCGCUCAGUCACCAAGGAGAUGCCAGUUUGCACACAGAAACUUCAGUUACCACCUCACAACUCUCCAGACCUCCCAGCCCUCUGAAUCAACCUCUUCUCCAAGAAAGGUUCCAGCCUUUUUCUCAGUCCACGUGGCAGAAGAUCCCCGAGGGUGUACGAAGCCUUCUGACAUCCCACCGAGCUCACCCAAAGGACAGCUUUAUCUCUGAAACAAAUUCUAUCCAUGAAAGACCAAGCUACCCUCUGAAGAAACACUUACUGCGUGCACAGAGAUAUUUUUAACUCCUAUCUCACGGGAACACGGAUGACGGAUGAAGAGUUCACUCAGCAAGACACUGACAUUCGAACACCAUCCCCUGUUAUCUGGGUUGACUUCCUGGUGCCUAGCCCUUGUUAAUUCAAACCUUAUACUCGGUCUUUUGUGCCCAAGGAGCCUUUAUGAAACACCUGUGCAAUCUGAGGGAGCAAGAAGAGGAAGGAAGAAUCCUGCUGGGAGGGGCUAUGGGCAAGCUGCCUCCCUUCCAUUCCAUCAUGACUUCUGCAUCCUCCUCUGCCUCGAUUGCCGAGGUUUGAAUGUUUGUGUCUCCUUGAAUUCCUAAUUUGAAUGGUGACACCCUUAGAUGGAGCUUGGUUGGGGUGUGUAUGAUUGAGGAGAGUGAGUCAUAAGGAUAGAGCCCCGAGGGUGAGGCUGGGAGCUCUGUCCCUCCUAACACACGAGGACACACAGUGAGGGGAGCAAGCAAAGGCCUUUACCAGAUUCCAGAUUUGCCAGCACCUUAACUCUGGACUUCCCGGCCUUCAGACCUGUGAGAGAGAGAGACUAAUUUCUUUUGUUUAUAAGUUUACCUAGUUUACGGGGUUUUUAUAAGAUGCAACGAUUUUUUUGUUUUCUCCUGUAGAAAUUGGUUUUCAAAAGUAAAUUGAGGGGCUGGAGAGAUGGCUCAGUGGUUAAGAGCAC